rnacentral:rRNA from 1 species
CCGAAUGGGGAAACCCACUGCUUCGGCAGUAUCCUGCAGUGAAUUCAUAGCUGCUGGAAGCGAACCCGGUGAACUGAAAUAUCUAAGUAACCGGAGGAAAAGAAAUCAACCGAGAUUCCCUAAGUAGUGACGAGCGAACGGGGAACAGCCCUUAAGCUGGAAUGGCUUUAGAAAAACAAUCUGGAAAGAUUGGCCAUAGAAGGUGAUAGCCCUGUAUUUAAAAGGGCCACUCCAGUGAAGACGAGUAGGGCGGGGCACGUGAAACCCUGUCUGAAUAUGGGGGGACCAUCCUCCAAGGCUAAAUACUCCUGACCGACCGAUAGUGAACCAGUACCGUGAGGGAAAGGCGAAAAGAACCCCGGAGAGGGGAGUGAAAUAGAUCCUGAAACCGUGUGCGUACAAGCAGUAGGAGCUCGCAAGAGUGACUGCGUACCUUUUGUAUAAUGGGUCAGCGACUUACUGUUCGUGGCAAGCUUAACCGUAUAGGGGAGGCGAAGGGAAACCGAGUCUGAUAAGGGCGCAUAGUCGCGGGCAGUAGACCCGAAACCGGGUGAUCUAGUCAUGGCCAGGGUGAAGGUGCCGUAACAGGUACUGGAGGCCCGAACCCACGUCUGUUGCAAAAGACGGGGAUGAGCUGUGAUUAGGAGUGAAAAGCUAAUCGAACCCGGAGAUAGCUGGUUCUCCUCGAAAGCUAUUUAGGUAGCGCCUCGGACGAAUACUACUGGGGGUAGAGCACUGUUAUGGCUAGGGGGUCAUCGCGACUUACCAAACCAUUGCAAACUCCGAAUACCAGUACGUACUAUCCGGGAGACACACGGCGGGUGCUAACGUCCGUCGUGAAAAGGGAAACAACCCAGACCCACAGCUAAGGUCCCAAAUUCACUGCUAAGUGGAAAACGAUGUGGAAAGGCAUAGACAGCCAGGAGGUUGGCUUAGAAGCAGCCACCCUUUAAAGAAAGCGUAAUAGCUCACUGGUCGAGUCGGUCUGCGCGGAAGAUUUAACGGGGCUAAGCAGUGAACCGAAGCUUGGGGUGCAUAAAACUUGUUUUAUGCGCGGUAGAGGAGCGUUCCGUAAGCCUGCGAAGGUGGAUUGAGAAGUCUGCUGGAGGUAUCGGAAGUGCGAAUGCUGACAUGAGUAACGAUAAUGCGGGUGAAAAGCCCGCACGCCGAAAGCCCAAGGUUUCCUUGCGCAACGUUAAUCGACGCAGGGUUAGUCGGUCCCUAAGGCGAGGGCGAAAGCCGUAGUCGAUGGGAAGCAGGUUAAUAUUCCUGCACCUCGCGUGAGUGCGAUGGAGGGACGGAGAAGGUUAGGUGUACCGGGCGUUGGUUGUCCCGGGGAAAGGCGGUAGGUUUGGAUCUUUGGCAAAUCCGGGAUCCUUUAAGACCGAGCACCGAGACGAGCCUUUAUGGCGAAGUCACUGAUACCACGCUUCCAGGAAAAGCUCCUAAGCUUCAGCUCACGAAGACCGUACCGUAAACCGACACAGGUGGGUAGGAUGAGAAUUCUCAGGCGCUUGAGAGAACUCGGGUGAAGGAACUAGGCAACAUGGCACCGUAACUUCGGGAGAAGGUGCACCCUUUUUGGUGGCUCAUGCGAGCUAUAGCUGAAGAGGGUCGCAGAAACCAGGCCGCUGCGACUGUUUAUCAAAAACACAGCACUCUGCAAACACGAAAGUGGACGUAUAGGGUGUGACGCCUGCCCGGUGCUGGAAGGUUAAUUGAUGGGGUCAGCCGCAAGGCGAAGCUCUUGAUCGAAGCCCCAGUAAACGGCGGCCGUAACUAUAACGGUCCUAAGGUAGCGAAAUUCCUUGUCGGGUAAGUUCCGACCUGCACGAAUGGCGUAACGACAGCGGCGCUGUCUCCACCCGAGACUCAGUGAAAUUGAAAUCGCUGUGAAGAUGCAGCGUUCCCGUGGCAAGACGGAAAGACCCCGUGAACCUUUACUAUAGCUUUACACUGAACGUUGAGUUCGUCUGUGUAGGAUAGGUGGGAGGCUAUGAAACUGUGGCGCUAGCUGCAGGGGAGCCAUCCUUGAAAUACCACCCUGUCGUGCUUGACGUUCUAACCUAGAUCCGUUAUCCGGAUCAGGGACCGUGUAUGGUGGGUAGUUUGACUGGGGCGGUCUCCUCCUAAAGAGUAACGGAGGAGCACGAAGGUACGCUCAGCGCGGUCGGACAUCGCGCACUGUGUGCAAAGGCAUAAGCGUGCUUGACUGCAAGAUCGACGGAUCAAGCAGGUACGAAAGUAGGUCUUAGUGAUCCGGUGGUUCUGUAUGGAAGGGCCAUCGCUCAACGGAUAAAAGGUACUCCGGGGAUAACAGGCUGAUACCGCCCAAGAGUUCAUAUCGACGGCGGUGUUUGGCACCUCGAUGUCGGCUCAUCACAUCCUGGGGCUGUAGUCGGUCCCAAGGGUAUGGCUGUUCGCCAUUUAAAGUGGUACGCGAGCUGGGUUCAGAACGUCGUGAGACAGUUCGGUCCCUAUCUGCCAUGGGCGUUGGAAGUUUGAGAGGGGCUGCUCCUAGUACGAGAGGACCGGAGUGGACGAACCUCUGGUGUUCCGGUUGUCACGCCAGUGGCAUUGCCGGGUAGCUAUGUUCGGAAGCGAUAACCGCUGAAAGCAUCUAAGCGGGAAGCGCGCCUCAAGAUGAGACUUCCCGGGGCACAAGCCCCCUAAAGGAACCAUGUAGACUACGUGGUUGA